UUUUAAUUGACUUCAGAGACCAAAAUAAUUUCUUCCUUUCUGGGUCUAAAGGGUUUAUUUACAAAUGAAAGAAUUCUGAUUGAAUAAUUGUUAGUGUGGAAUGCCUAUACGACCAAGUUCUGAUCAAUGAGAAAAAAAUGAGAGACUUCUCUCUAAAUACUCCCUUUCUUCCUGCUUGGGAUACUGUGUGAGAACAUACUGCCUGAAACUGCAACAUCCGUAUUGGACCAUGAAGGGGAUAUCUUCUUCAAUCAAUUAGAAGACUGUUCAAAAUAUUCUUCAAACAGUACAUCUCCAACAUGAGCAUGCAGAGUUCAUGUAUUCAUUGACGUAAUCCAGAAAACCAGGCAGGCAGUGGCUACAUCUUGACGUGGGUUUCCAGUCUCUCAGAAAGGAUGAAGUGAGAAAUCAAUAACAGAAGGAACAGAGGAAUUCUCUUAAACAACCACUGGGUAAAAGAAAAAGUCGCAAAGGAAUUUAAAAAAUAUAUCAAGAAAAUGGAAACAAAGGCACAACAUACCAAAACUUAUGGGAUGCAAUGAAAGAAAUACUAAGAAGAAAGUUUAUAGCAGUAAACACAUUA